UACAGAGGUCCCAAGCGUUGUUCGGAUUCACUGGGCGUAAAGGGUGCGCAGGUGGCUGGGUAAGUUUGAUGUGAAAGCCCCGGGCUUAACCCGGGAACGGCAUUGAAUACUAUUCGGCUGGAGGAUUGGAGGGGGGACUGGAAUUCUUGGUGUAGCAGUGAAAUGCGUAGAUAUCAAGAGGAACACCAGUGGCGAAGGCGAGUCCCUGGACAAUUCCUGACACUGAGGCACGAAAGCCAAGGGAGCAAACAGG
rnacentral:rRNA from 2 species